ACUUGCUCUUAUGANUUACGGCGGACGGGUGAGUACACGUGGGUACCUGCCCAUAAGACUGGGAUAACUCCGGGAAACCGGGGCUAAUACCGGAUAACAUUUUGAACCGCAUGGUUCGAAAUUGAAAGGCGGCUUCGGCUGUCACUUAUGGAUGGACCCGCGUCGCAUUAGCUAGUUGGUGAGGUAACGGCUCACCAAGGCAACGAUGCGUAGCCGACCUGAGAGGGUGAUCGGCCACACUGGGACUGAGACACGGCCCAGACUCCUACGGGAGGCAGCAGUAGGGAAUCUUCCGCAAUGGACGAAAGUCUGACGGAGCAACGCCGCGUGAGUGAUGAAGGCUUUCGGGUCGUAAAACUCUGUUGUUAGGGAAGAACAAGUGCUAGUUGAAUAAGCUGGCACCUUGACGGUACCUAACCAGAAAGCCACGGCUAACUACGUGCCAGCAGCCGCGGUAAUAC
rnacentral:rRNA from 1 species